UAGGACCUGUAAGUAAGCAUUUCACUGUUGUAUUCGGUGCACGUGACAAAUAAACUUUGAUUUGAUUUAUGUGCAUUUCCAAAUCAUAGCAAAGGGUCUGUAUACUUAUGUAAAUAAGGUAUCUGCUUUUUAUGCUUACUAUCUUUGCAAGCAUUUCUAAAAACCUAUUUUAGUUUUGUCAUUAUGGGGUAGUGUGUGUAAUUUGAGGAUUUUUCCCCCCCAUAAAUUUUAGAAUAAGGCUGUAACGUAACAAAAUGUGGAAAAGGUCAAGGGGUCUGAAUACUUUCCGAAUGCACUGUGUUUAUCUCACAAUUGACUUCAGGUGUGUGUGUUUUAUUGUCUGUUCAAGGUCAGUGGCCUCUGGGCAUCCAGCCAAUUUCAGAGUUCAGGCUAGGUGCUUUGUUCUUUAGCCCCUAACAGAACAAAAUCCCUUGUUUUGCUUGAACUGGCUGUAACCUAUUCCUUGAGACCCAGCAAUGGCAAACAAAAUCUAGGAGGACAACUACACCAGGUGGCACAUCAAAUCACACAUCAAAGUUCUCCACAAAACUUUUAAAAAAAACAUAAUCAAUGAGCUGCCAGAAAACGUGGCGCGAGAUAGCAUUUGCCCCAGUACUUUUCAAUCUGGUCACUUUCAAGCAGCAGCAACAAACCCGUUUUACCAGACAUAUUCAUUAGUUCACAUCAUAGAACAUUUUUUAAAAACGUUUUUCAACUGGGAAGAAUGCAGGCGUUUCUUAUUAGACAAGUUUACACAGUAUCUCCCCCCAAUUUCAGCCUGUUUGCCUCUAUUCGGUCUAGUGAAUACAACCCUGUCUCUGGGAUUUCACACUGUCACAGUGGUCUUCUAGCUACAGCCUACAGAGCCUCAUCAACCACACCUCUCAACAAAUCAAUGUAGUUUCACCAGCACCUCAUUGUUCGACUCUGCAGUAUGCGCGUGGUUUCUUUCUUCGCUCACGCUCCUCUCCUGCCUGGUUGCUUGCCUCAUGAGAGAAUGAACACACAUUUUAAAUGGAAAACAAGGAUAAAGAAGGUGAAAUGAUCGGAUUCUGCUACCCAAGGUUAAGGGAUAGUGAGUGACGUUCCUGAGAAAGGACAAUGACCCAACACACCUCCAGGCUGUGUAAGGGCGAUUUGACCAAGAAGGAGAG